rnacentral:rRNA from 1 species
GGGGGGGGGGGGGGGGGGGGGUAGGGGAGGCGAGUGGGGCGGAGGGGGGGGGAGGGGGCGGCGCGGAGGGGAGCGGCGGAGGGGGGAGUGAGACGUGGAUAACCUACCUAUCAGCGUGGGAUAAGUUGGGGAAACCGGAGCUAAUACCGGAUAAUAUUGUGAACGGCAUGGUUCACACGGGAAAGACGGUCGUGCGGUCACUUAGAGAUGGACCCGCGCGUCCUUAACUAGCUUGUACGGUAAAGGCUUACCAAGGCACCGAUGCAUAGCCGACCCGAGAGGGUGAUCGGCCACACUGGAACUGAGCCACGGUCCAGACUCCUACGGGAGGCAGCAGUAGUGAAUCUUCCGCAAUGGGCGAACGCCUGACGGAGCAACGCCGCGUGAGUGAUGAAGGUCUUCGGAUCGUAAAACUCUGUUAUUAGGGAAGAACAUAUGUGUAAGUAACUGUGCACAUCUUGACGGUACCUAAUCAGAAAGCCACGGCUAACUACGUG